rnacentral:lncRNA from 1 species
GGAAUUCAGGCUAUCUCUGGAGCUGAGCACAACCCCCAGGUCACAUCCAACAAAGAAACAGGGACCUCAGUCCUAUAAACACCACCAACAGAAUGAACUUGGAAGCAGAUUUUCCCCCAGAGCAUCCAGAUAAGAACUCAGUCCACUCAACAUCUUCAGCUUUGUGAUAUUCCAGGCAUAUUGUGCUGAACUUCUGACUUACAGAACUUCAGUCCUGAAAGGAUUAUAAAAGCAAGAAAGAAACAUGGACUCUAAGAAUUAACAACAGUGUGGGAAGCCACGGAGGAGAUUUAUGACUACCCUAAAUUGGUUUGUGUUUGGAUGGAUGACUAUUUCCUGCUCUUUAUUACUAGAAAUUGGCAGCAACAUCUCAGAUUGGAUAAUGGUACUGGUGGAAUAAUUACCAGAAAGAAAAAAACAUCCCCACUAAAGUGAUGAAAACAUGUACAGAUUGUCCAACCUUUUGCUUUUGUACCACUUCCCCUUCCAGAUGUCAGGGUUGUGAUUUAUUUCUCCCUAAGAGUUUAAAAAUAAAACUCUCAUCAUAAAAUUUGCCUGAUACUGAUGAAAAAUAAGAUGUAGUAAUUUAGGCUUUCAGACUAGACUCAGAAAUAGAAUCCAUUAAUAUUUUUUUACUAGGGAUCCAUUUAAAAACAUCUAAACAUGAUGAAAAUGAAAGAAUGGAGAGAAAUAUGCCAGGUAAAUAUAAACUUAAAAGAAAGCUGGGGAAACUAUCAAUAUCUGACAAAAAUAGAUUUUCAUGUAAAAAAAUGUGGCACAC